AACCCAUGGUGAGGGCACCUUCUCAAUAAAUCCUUGUAUCUGUCCCAUGCAUCAUAAAGUUUUUCUAAAUCCAUUUGCACAAAAGAAGAGAUAUCAUUCCUCAACUU
rfam:Gossypium hirsutum cultivar TM-1 chromosome 8, whole genome shotgun sequence